GAUGAACGCUGGCGGCGUGCUUAACACAUGCAAGUCGAACGGGAAACCUUUUAUUGAAGCUUCGGCAGAUUUAGCUGGUUUCUAGUGGCGGACGGGUGAGUAACGCGUGGGUAACCUGCCUUAUACAGGGGGAUAACAACCAGAAAUGGUUGCUAAUACCGCAUAAGCGCACAGGACCGCAUGGUCCGGUGUGAAAAACUCCGGUGGUAUAAGAUGGACCCGCGUUGGAUUAGCUAGUUGGCAGGGUAACGGCCUACCAAGGCGACGAUCCAUAGCCGGCCUGAGAGGGUGAACGGCCACAUUGGGACUGAGACACGGCCCAGACUCCUACGGGAGGCAGCAGUGGGGAAUAUUGCACAAUGGGGGAAACCCUGAUGCAGCGACGCCGCGUGAAGGAAGAAGUAUCUCGGUAUGUAAACUUCUAUCAGCAGGGAAGAUAGUGACGG
rnacentral:rRNA from 1 species